rnacentral:rRNA from 1 species
GAUGAACGCUAGCGACAGGCUUAACACAUGCAAGUCGAGGGGCAGCACAGGUAGCAAUACCGGGUGGCGACCGGCGCACGGGUGAGUAACGCGUAUGCAACUUGCCUAUCAGAGGGGGAUAACCCGGCGAAAGUCGGACUAAUACCGCAUGAAGCAGGGGCCCCGCAUGGGGAUAUUUGCUAAAGAUUCAUCGCUGAUAGAUAGGCAUGCGUUCCAUUAGGCAGUUGGCGGGGUAACGGCCCACCAAACCGACGAUGGAUAGGGGUUCUGAGAGGAAGGUCCCCCACAUUGGUACUGAGACACGGACCAAACUCCUACGGGAGGCAGCAGUGAGGAAUAUUGGUCAAUGGGCGUAAGCCUGAACCAGCCAAGUCGCGUGAGGGAUGAAGGUUCUAUGGAUCGUAAACCUCUUUUAUAAGGGAAUAAAGUGCGGGACGUGUCCCGUUUUGUAUGUACCUUAUGAAUAAGGAUCGGCUAACUCCGUGCCAGCAGCCGCGGUAAUACGGAGGAUCCGAGCGUUAUCCGGAUUUAUUGGGUUUAAAGGGUGCGUAGGCGGCCUUUUAAGUCAGCGGUGAAAGUCUGUGGCUCAACCAUAGAAUUGCCGUUGAAACUGGGGGGCUUGAGUAUGUUUGAGGCAGGCGGAAUGCGUGGUGUAGCGGUGAAAUGCAUAGAUAUCACGCAGAACCCCGAUUGCGAAGGCAGCCUGCCAAGCCAUUACUGACGCUGAUGCACGAAAGCGUGGGGAUCAAACAGGAUUAGAUACCCUGGUAGUCCACGCAGUAAACGAUGAUCACUAGCUGUUUGCGAUACACUGUAAGCGGCACAGCGAAAGCGUUAAGUGAUCCACCUGGGGAGUACGCCGGCAACGGUGAAACUCAAAGGAAUUGACGGGGGCCCGCACAAGCGGAGGAACAUGUGGUUUAAUUCGAUGAUACGCGAGGAACCUUACCCGGGUUUGAACGCAUUCGGACCGAGGUGGAAACACCUUUUCUAGCAAUAGCCGUUUGCGAGGUGCUGCAUGGUUGUCGUCAGCUCGUGCCGUGAGGUGUCGGCUUAAGUGCCAUAACGAGCGCAACCCUUGCCACUAGUUACUAACAGGUAAAGCUGAGGACUCUGGUGGGACUGCCAGCGUAAGCUGCGAGGAAGGCGGGGAUGACGUCAAAUCAGCACGGCCCUUACAUCCGGGGCGACACACGUGUUACAAUGGCGUGGACAAAGGGAGGCCACCUGGUGACAGGGAGCGAAUCCCCAAACCACGUCUCAGUUCGGAUCGGAGUCUGCAACCCGACUCCGUGAAGCUGGAUUCGCUAGUAAUCGCGCAUCAGCCAUGGCGCGGUGAAUACGUUCCCGGGCCU